rnacentral:hammerhead_ribozyme from 1 species
AUCCCGUUGACGAGUCCCAAACAGGACGAAAUGCGCAUCCUCGUGGAU